rnacentral:sRNA from 1 species
UUUUGGCAUAGUGUAUAAGAGCUCUUUCUUGAUUCAAUAGGUAGUGGUGCAUAGUCGUUCUUAGUUGGUGGAUGGAUUUGUCUGAUUAAUUUCAUUAACAAACGAGACCUUAGCUUGCUAAUUAGUUAUGUAUAGGUCUCCUCCAACAAACAAUCUGUAAUUCUUCAACAACAAGCUUGAUUAUGCUGUU